rnacentral:rRNA from 1 species
UACGUAGGGUGCAAGCGUUGUCCGGAAUUAUUGGGCGUAAAGAGCUUGUAGGCGGUUUGUCGCGUCUGCUGUGAAAUUUCGGGGCUCAACCCCGAACUUGCAGUGGGUACGGGCAGACUAGAGUGUGGUAGGGGAGACUGGAAUUCCUGGUGUAGCGGUGAAAUGCGCAGAUAUCAGGAAGAACACCAAUGGCGAAAGCAGCUCUCUGGGACGGUACUGACGCUGAGACGCGAAAGCGUGGGGGAGCGAACAGG